rnacentral:lncRNA from 1 species
CUCAAAUCUUAAUCUUGUGUUUCUUAAGAUAGUGAACAUGUAUCUGAAUUACAGACAAUUAUGUAUGAAAUUGGUACAUAAAACAUGGAGAGCUUUAUGAGAAAUGAAUGUAAUUUGAUGUUAGAGCUAUUCAAAAUGGUGUGUUGAAUUUGAAUAUUAAAUCAGUGUAUGCAUGAUUGAAGUCGAGUGAAAUACUUGUCGAUGUGAUUAUAAAAUGCGGAAAAUGUAUUUUAAUCAUUACUUAUAGGGAAAAUGUUGGGAACAUUUGUGUAUAUAAUGCAUUUUAUAUGGCCCACUCCUUUUCAGACCCAGAAAGACAUACAGGGGAGGUUACGUGUUGGGAGCAAAGAGAGACUGACUUUCUUUGGACAAGCUCAGUUGAACCCUGUGCACUCAAAUCACCAGGCGAUAAAGGUCAGAGCCAACUUCAGCCAUCAGCUUGAGCUGCAGCUCCCCUCCUCUGCUGCAGUGGAGGGAAAUGUAUGCUGGAACCCCAAGAACAACACUGACUUUGAUUAUCAGGCCAGAGGUAAACUGAGAGUAGAGCGACAGCAGUGCCAAGUGAGUAAAACCAACUCUGUAUUUUGAUUAUUGCCUGUUUAAAAGGGCAAUAUGUAAGAUUUAGCCAAUUGUCUAAUCCAUAUUCCAAACAUAAAGUGGGCAGUAUAUCACCAAAAUAAUUGCUAACUGCAGCUAACUGCAGCUGCUGUUUGAUGAAUGGGUUUUUUUACUUUUCUAGCUUUCUGUACAGCUCAAUGGAACAUCAGGCAGAGUCGUUCUUUAUUCGUCUCUCAGCCAUCCCUUCAAAUCAAAGAUUCCCAAAACAUUAGAGGUCGGCCACUUCUGUGUUAAGUCAAAUCUUUUAAUUUAGUAGUCUCUAAAAAGUUUUACAUCAAAUUCAGUUUAUGGAAUCUGAGCUGUUGUGUUGUUUGGCUGUUUUUAUCAUGCUCAGGUCAGAGCCACAGCAGACAUUUCUACAGAGGCUGGUAGAGGAAGUAGCUCAGUGAGUGUGAGGGCUGAUGGGAAAGACAGGGUGAAGCUGGACGCCCAGGUUUCACACUCCCUCCAGAGAGGAGAAAGAACCGUGGGGCUGAGGGUUAAUGUAUCCCAGAGCCUGCUGCAUUCUCCCACUGACCUGCAUGUAAACAUGUCCGCCAACAUGUCCUCAGACAGGUGUGUGGAUCCACCCGGCUGAGGGUUUUAUCACUUUGUCUCCAUAAGAUAUACUCUGACAGUCAUGUGUCCAGUAAACCAUCUCUUUGUGAACUUUUGAACUCAUUCUGCCUCCUCCAGUGUGUCUCUACAUGGCUCCUAUAAACAGGGGCACGAGGCUCUGCUGGCCCAGGUCAAAGGCUCUCUAAAAACCACACAGGGUCUCCAGCUGGCUGUGUCCGGGGACCUGAGGCACUCCAUGGCCAACCUCGCUGUUUUGCCUCCAGUGCUGGGGUUGGAUGGGGCGCUUGGACAGUCUGACACACUCAUUGAAGGUAAAGGGUUAUUUAAAAAUACAAA